rnacentral:misc_RNA from 1 species
AUAAGAACGCUCUAUUUCAUCACUGGAUAUCAACCCGAUUAGUCGUUGUUGUUGCUAUCCAUCCUUCGCUUUCCUGCUAGUUUUUUACCGCCGAACAGAUAUGGCAGAAGGUGUGAGUGGAUCCUCGAAGCAUACCGUGACUCCAUAUGAUGAGGCAAUGGAUGCUCUAUCGUCUUUGAUACCCAGACGCACUCGUGCUGACAAGAGCAACAAAGGGGAUCACUUCGAUUUGCUGUUUGAUUAUUUAAAGAUGCUGGAGCUGGAGCAGGCUAUCUCAGAAAUGAAGAUCAUACAUGUAGCGGGCACCAAAGGAAAGGGAUCCACAUGCACCUUCACAGAAUCUAUACUACGUAAUUAUGGCUUCCGCACAGGACUUUUCACAUCUCCUCACCUCAUCGAUGUUCGUGAAAGAUUUCGUUUGGAUGGUAAGGACAUUUGUGAAGAAAAUUUUUUGGCACAUUUCUGGUGGUGUUAUGAUAGACUGAAGGAAAAAACUAAUGAAGAUAUACCAAUGCCUUCUUACUUCCGCUUUCUUGCCUUGCUUGCCUUCAAGAUAUUUGCUGCAGAGCAGGUAGAUGUUGCUAUUUUGGAGGUUGGGUUAGGUGGAACUUUUGAUCCUACAAAUGUGGUUCAAACACCGGUUGUGUGUGGUAUAUCUUCCCUUGGGUAUGAUCACAUGGAGAUUCUUGGUUAGUGUUCAUUUCUAUAAGUUAGGUAAUUGCUCAUAAUAGUUUAACGUUUAGUUACUUUUUAUUUAAUUAUCAGUAUAAAAGCUUCCAUACUAUUUGGUAGACAUUAAUUUGUAAAUUGGAUAUAUACCUUGAAUCCAGAGUUUUUCACAAACUCCAACAGGAUUUCAUUUACUAACCUUGUUAAUUUCUUGAUGUAUGCCUACUUAAUUAACAGCAUAUUCAGCAUAUUCACAUGUAAAUUUGUACCUCUGGAAAUUGAUGCAAAUAGACUCGUAUUAGAUUUUAGGCUCAUGCUUCUGCAAAACUUUUUAGAUCUCAUAUGUUAUUGCUUUAACAGGAAAUACUCUUGGAGAAAUUGCUGGGGAAAAGGCUGGCAUCUUUAAGCAUGGGAUUCCAGCAUUCACAGUCCCUCAACCUGAUGAAGCUAUGUGUGUACUUGAAGAGAAGGCUUCGAAGUUAGAUGUAAGUAGCAUAGUUCAUGCACCAUUUAGUUCUAUUAUCUAAACUUGAAAAAUGCAUGUGUCAAACUUCCGCUUCAGAGGAUAAAGCUUGACUUUAGCAAAUCAACAUACGUGAUGCUCUCAAUCAUUCUUAUAUGAAGUUGGUGUAUGAUUUGGAAGGUAAUGAAUUUAAUUCUAUGUUGACACUACGGUUUACGGUUCUUUUAAGUUGUUAAACAAUCAGGUUGAGGCAAAAAACCUUCAUCAACUUCACCACUCAAGACAUAGAUGCAUUUAGUUCUCAAUCUUAAGAUUAUUAGGAUAAAUUAAGAACUGGUAAGUUAUGUUUCAUUUAUGAGAGUUUAAGGCUAUUUUUCAUGUCAAACAUCUCAUCUCUCUGUUCAAACAAGUCCUUGGUGAUGUGCAUUGUUUUCUAAAGAAUAAUGCCGCACUACUUUCCUUAAUGGAAGUUCAUCAGUCUGCAUAAAAGCUUGCUGUAAUUGUUUCCUUAAUAGGACAAGGCUACCUCAUUUUUGCAGAACAGCUAAGAUUAGGUUACAAACUUUCUAUGUAUAACUCAGAAAAACAUGUUGAUUGCAGGUACCUCUUCAUGUGGCACCGCCAUUGGAUUCCAACUUGCUGAAUGGUCUAAAACUUGGACUUGAAGGUGAGCACCAGUUUGUAAAUGCUGGUCUUGCCAUUGCGCUAUCUUCUAAAUGGCUUCAAAGGUCUGGUCACCUUGAAGCCACCUACUUGGAGCAAACUAGCUCACUACCUGAGCAGUUUAUUAAGGGGCUAACAACAGCCUGUCUGCAAGGGCGAGCUCAAAUUGUUCCUGAUCCAUAUAUCGACACUGAGAGCGAUGGAGAUCUUGUGUUUUAUUUGGAUGGAGCUCAUAGUCCUGAAAGCAUGGAAGUAUGUGCAAGAUGGUUUUCUCUCACAAUUAAAGAUGACAACGAGCAAAACACCUUGAAUUGUCCAUCACAGAACAAUUAUCAAUCCAUGCAUGAAUGUGUUGACAAGUACCAUGAUAGAAGAUCUGGUAAAAAUUUCAUGCAGGUAUAUAUGGA